UACGAAGGGGGCUAGCGUUGUUCGGAAUUACUGGGCGUAAAGCGCGCGCAGGCGGUCUUCCAAGUCAGUGGUGAAAACCUGGAGCUCAACUCCAGAACUGCCAUUGAAACUGUUAGACUUGAGUACGAGAGAGGUGAGUGGAAUUCCCAGUGUAGAGGUGAAAUUCGUAGAUAUUGGGAAGAACACCAGUGGCGAAGGCGGCUCACUGGCUCGUAACUGACGCUCAGGCGCGACAGCGUGGGGAUCAAACAGG
rnacentral:rRNA from 1 species